CAGCAGCCACGGUAAUACGGAGGGGGCUAGCGUUGUUCGGAAUUACUGGGCGUAAAGCGCACGUAGGCGGCUUGGUAAGUUAGAGGUGAAAGCCUGGAGCUCAACUCCAGAAUUGCCUUUAAGACUGCCGAGCUAGCAGGUGAGAGAGGUAAGUGGAAUUCCGAGUGUAGAGGUGAAAUUCGUAGAUAUUCGGAAGAACACCAGUGGCGAAGGCGGCUUACUGGCUCAUACUGGACGCUGAGGUGCGAAAGCGUGGGAAGCAAACAGGAUUAGAUACCCCCGUAGUCCCUGUCUCUUAUAC
rnacentral:rRNA from 1 species